rnacentral:rRNA from 1 species
UACGUAGGGUGCGAGCGUUGUCCGGAAUUAUUGGGCGUAAAGAGCUUGUAGGUGGUUUGUCGCGUCUGCUGUGAAAAUCCGAGGCUCAACCUCGGACUUGCAGUGGGUACGGGCAGACUAGAGUGUGGUAGGGGAGACUGGAAUUCCUGGUGUAGCGGUGGAAUGCGCAGAUAUCAGGAGGAACACCGAUGGCGAAGGCAGGUCUCUGGGCCAUUACUGACACUGAGAAGCGGAAAGC